rnacentral:rRNA from 1 species
AUGAACGAAAAAAUUCAAAAAAAAAAACAACGUUCUCGCGCCUAUCUCGAAAGGAAAAAAAAGUGCCUAUUGCAACGUCUGCUUCCUCUUUCUCGCGAAAAAGAAAAAGGGAAAACGUCUGCUUCCUCUGUUUUUCUAUGGCAAGAUCGAUCCAACGCCACGUGCCCAUGCCCCCUGCAACUUGCGUUUGCAUAUACUCCUACUAUUGUCCCAUCUGGCCAUCUCGAUGGUGGCUGUGCUCGUGCCCCUGCAACUUGCAUUGCAUAUACUGUGUAUGUUGUCCCAUCUCGACAUCUCAAUCGUGGCUGUACUCGUGGUGCAUACAUGUACGUCGUACGUCGGUAG